rnacentral:lncRNA from 10 species
AAAUGUAAACAUUAGUACAUAAAUGAGCUCUGUACAGCCAGAAUGGCUUAAAUUUAAAAGACUGACAAUACCAAGUAUUUGGUGAAAAUGUGGGGAAAAUGGAACUCUCACACACAGCUGGCAGGGCACACCAAAAAAAUGUUUAUAAAUACCUAUCUUCUAAAGCUGAACAUACAACUACCCUUUGAUCCAGCAAUUCUACUUCUAGGUACAGGAUGAAUUAUAUGAAACCACUAAUAACUAUUUUGGACCAACAAAAUGGUAACUUCUAGGCUGGGCACACUGACUCACGCCUGUAAUCCCAGUACUGUGGGAGGCCAAGGCGGGCAGAUCACCUGGGGUCAGAAGUUCGAGACCAGCCUGACCAACGUGGAGAAACCCCAUCUCUAUUAAAAAUACAAAAUUAGCUAGGCGUGUUGGCGCAUGCCUGUAAUCCCAGCUACUCGGGAGGCUGAGGCAGGAGAAUCGCUUGAACCCAGGAGGUGGAGGUGGUGGUGAGCCGAGAUCGCACCCUUGCACUCCAGCCUAGGUAACAAGACUGUCUCCCAAAACAACAAAAAGGCAACUUCUAGUGGUCCAACCUAACAUAUAUCCAAGAAAAAUGAGUGUAUACGUCCAGCAAAAGGCUUAUAAAAGAUGACCAAUGCAUUUUAAUUCACAAUAGUCAUUAACUGACAAAAAGUCAAAUUUCUAACUUGGUAUAUUCAUACAGUAGAAAAUGACAAAGCAGUGAAAAAGAACUACUAUUACCGCAGGCAACAAGAAUGCAUCUCACAAAUAUAUCAAUGAGUGAAUAAAGUCUGACACAAAAGAAAUCAUGCUAUGUGAGUCCAUUUAUAUUCAAGCCUAGGCAAAAUUAAUCAUAAUGAUAGAAGUCCAAAUAGCAGGCUCCAGGAGGGUAGAGGUGAGGAAAGCUGUAAGUUCUGACCAGAAGGAGGAACAAGGGGGCCUGCUGCGGUGUUGAAAAUGAAUUGUAUCUUGACCUGGAUGGUAGUUACAAAUGUGAGUGUGUGAGUAUGGCCAUGUGUGUGUGACAUGGGGGGACACAUGUAUAAAAAUUCAUCAAAUUCAGAUUUGUAUACUUUACUGUAUGUAUGUUACAUGGCUUAAUUUUUUUUUUUUAAAGCCAGGUCUGUUGUUGAAAGCUUUCCCUUGUUUUAUUCUUUUUUUUUUUUUUGAGACGGAGUUCACUCUUAUUGCCCAGGCUGGAGUGCAAUGGCACGAUCUCGGCUCACCACAACCUCCGCCUCCCG